AGGACGAACGCUGGCGGCGUGCUUAACACAUGCAAGUCGAACGGAGUCGAUCUGGUGGCAACACCGGUGAAAACUCAGUGGCGAACGGGUGCGGAACACGUGAGCAACCUGCCCCAAAGACCGGGAUAACACCGGGAAACUGGUGCUAAUACCGGAUACCCCCACGAGCUCGCAUGGGCUUGUGAGGAAAGGGUUUCCGCUUUGGGAGGGGCUCGCGGCCUAUCAGCUUGUUGGUGAGGUAACGGCUCACCAAGGCGACGACGGGUAGCUGGUCUGAGAGGACGAUCAGCCACACUGGGACUGAGACACGGCCCAGACUCCUACGGGAGGCAGCAGUGGGGAAUCUUGCGCAAUGGGCGAAAGCCUGACGCAGCAACGCCGCGUGGGGGAUGAAGGCCUUCGGGUUGUAAACCCCUUUCAGUGGGAACGAAAUUGACGGUACCCACAGAAGAAGCCCCGGCCAACUACGUGCCAGCAGCCGCGGUGAUACGUAGGGGGCGAGCGUUGUCCGGAUUUAUUGGGCGUAAAGAGCUCGUAGGCGGCUUGGUAAGUCGGGUGUGAAGCCUCCAGGCUCAACCUGGCGACGCCACUCGAUACUGCCCUGGCUAGAGUCCGGUAGGGGAUCACGGAAUUCCUGGUGUAGCGGUGAAAUGCGCAGAUAUCAGGAGGAACACCAGUGGCGAAGGCGGUGAUCUGGGCCGGUACUGACGCUGAGGAGCGAAAGCGUGGGGAGCGAACAGGAUUAGAUACCCUGGUAGUCCACGCCGUAAACGUUGGGCACUAGGUGUGGGGCCUUAUCGACGGGUUCCGUGCCGCAGCUAACGCAUUAAGUGCCCCGCCUGGGGAGUACGGCCGCAAGGCUAAA
rnacentral:rRNA from 1 species